CGCGUAGGCGGGCGGCCAAGUCAGGGGUGAAAGCCUCCAGCUCAACUGGAGAAGUGCCUUUGAUACUGGCCAUCUUGAGGGAGGUAGGGGCGUGCGGAACUUCCGGUGGAGCGGUGAAAUGCGUAGAUAUCGGAAGGAACACCGGUGGCGAAAGCGGCGCGCUGGACCUCUUCUGACGCUGAGGCGCGAAAGCCAGGGGAGCAAACG
rnacentral:rRNA from 1 species